rnacentral:rRNA from 1 species
GAAGAGAGAGUUCAAGAGUACGUGAAACCGCAUAGAGUCAAACUGGUGGAUCCGCAGAGUCCGCGCGGGGAAUUCAGCUCGGCAGGCGGGGCCGUGCGCCGGCCGAGAUUCGUCUCGGACCUGGCUGGCGCGCUGCGUACUCGCAGGCAGGGUGCACUUUCCCCGGCUAGCGGAAGGCCACGACCGGUUCGGUGGCGGUCAGGAGCCCGGAGCGGGAGGUAGCCGUGAUCGGUUCACGCCGAUUGCGGAACGUACAGCCCUCCGAGGUGGACUCGCCGCUGGACCGAGGAUGCCGCGGUGGCCUCACGCCGCGGGCCGUCCGGGAGCGUUCGACUUUGGCCACGCUGCUCGCAGCCGGCCGAGACCGCGCUUCUGGUACGGGCUCGCGAACGGGGGCCGCCUAGGGUCAGUGGCGAAUCGGUCGGCAACCCACCAGACCCGUCUUGAAACACGGACCAAGGAGUCUAGCAUGUGCGCGAGUCACGGGGUCUCUCGAAACCCAAGGGCGCAAUGAAAGUGAAGGCCGCCUCCGGCUGGCCCAGGCAAGAUCCCGAGACGUUCGCGUCGAGGGCGCACUGCCGGCCCGUCUCGCUGGCAUCGACCACGAGGCGGAGCAAGAGCGCACACGCUGGGACCCGAAAGAUGGUGAACUAUGCCUGAGUAGGACGAAGUCA